rnacentral:rRNA from 1 species
AACGAACGCUGGCGGCAUGCCUAACACAUGCAAGUCGAACGAGACCUUCGGGUCUAGUGGCGCACGUGUGCUUAACGCGUGGGAACCUGCCCUUAGGUUCGGAAUACCUCCCCGAAAGGGGUGCUAAUACCGGAUAAUGUCUUCGGACCAAAGAUUUAUCGCCUUUGGAUGGGCCCGCGUUGGAUUAGCUAGUUGGUAGGGUAAAAGCCUACCAAGGCGACGAUCCAUAGCUGGUCUGAGAGGAUGAUCAGCCACACUGGGACUGAGACACGGCCCAGACUACUACGGGAGGAAGCAGAGGGGAAUAUUGGAAAAUGGGCGAAAGCAUGAAAAAGCAAGGCCGCGAGAGUGAUGAAGGCAUUAGGGUAGUAAAGCACUUUUAAACGGGAAGAUAAUGACAGUACCGGGAGAAUAAGCACCGGCUAACUACGUG